rfam:Salpingoeca sp. ATCC 50818 unplaced genomic scaffold supercont1.28, whole genome shotgun sequence.
GCGCUCAUGGUCCAAUGGCUAGGAUCCAACCCUCCCACGGUUGGGGUCCGGGUUCGAUUCCCGGUGAGCGUA